rnacentral:rRNA from 1 species
UUUUGACCUCGGAUCACGUAGGGAUACCCGCUGAACUUAAGCAUAUCAAUAAGCAGGAGGAAGGGAUACCCGCUGAACUUAAGCAUAUCAAUAAAGCGGAGG